rnacentral:lncRNA from 1 species
AGAUCAAAGCCAAGGACCAGCAAGCCAAGCAAAGAUGGGUUCCAGCGGCUGGCUUCUCACAGGCAGCUUCGGGUCUACCGCUUUCUGCACCCUGCCCACCCACUCCCAGCAGAACUGGAACCCCUCUCCCUGAGGACAGGACAUUUUGAACCAUUCACGUAAAAGUCUCAACCACGGAGCGUCAGCACCAACCCACCCUUCAGGCGUUGGCAGCAAGGACAACUGUGUUCAGGUGAACUUCUAGCCCUUUCAGACUUCACUGGAUGCUUGGCAUUUGCUACACUAGUUCCCAUUUUAGUGUUCUGCUUGUCUCGUAGACUGGACUGUAAACAACUUGAGCACCAGGGACCUGAAGCCCCCGGAUUCCACAGCAGGGCACUUUACAUGUGAAGAGCCAUUAGCCAGGAAAUGCUUAUGGUUGUUAAUGAUGAUAAGCUACUCCAAACAUAGUUUCUUUUAUCUGCCUACAUCAGAAGCUUGGCUUCUUGAGACAAGAGACUCAGACUUCUCAUUUAUACUCUUGACAGACUGUGGAAAUCAAUAAUGGCUUGCACCCAUCAGUGUCCUGGAAGUAGGAUUGAGAGAGAAGAUUCUCUUGAGAACCGAUUUCUCCUCAAAAUAAGAUUAGGCUUGAAAAAAAAAAAAUCAACCUCCCCACUGCUUAGCUCACAGGUAUGGUGCUAAUGGCAGCAACUUAGUCAUGAAAUGGGGAACAACAAUGUAAAAAAUCCUUGUUAAUUUGCUUAUAAUUAUCCAGAACUAACUACAGGUACACUGAAGAACUGUAUACUUGAUGGGAGGGAGAUCUACACCGCUAAGUCAAUAAGACCAAUUUCCGAUUUUUCCCUGUGAGCAUUUAUUUGCAGAGCCACAUAUUGGCAACAUAAGAAACUAGCGUUGAACAAACCUAAGAAGUGAUGAAUCCUCCCCGGGAGGAGAGCUGCAGCCCUGAAAUCCAAAGCAGAAUGGGCUGGGGGCAGCUUGAGGUCUGUGGGCGAAACUCAGCACUCCCAGUCUAGGGUGCUGCUCACCCAUUAACUUGGCCUCCUCUUGCCACUGUUGUUUUAGCCCUUAGUGAGCAUCUGUGUGGCUCAGAUUUAACCAGACCAAAGGGGCUGUGGUGGUGAGAGGGCAGAGAAAGCUGGAGGAAGAAAUGGCUUUUUUUCUGGAGAGGAGUGAGGACUAAGUCACUUCAAGGAUGAUCAUAUUCCCAGGAGGAGCCAUGAUAUGAUAUUAUUUGAAUAUCUAGCUCCACGCAGCUCUAUUUUUCCCUUCUCACUACUAGAAGAUUGUAAUCACCCGGUAUCAGCACAUUCAAGAUACUACCGAGGACCUAACAGCAUGCCCAAAACCUCUCAUCUCUGCACAUAACUGCGUACAAAUGACUAAAAUCACUUUGCUUCAAAAACAGAGUAGCUGUGUGAAAGGCAUUUUAGAGCAUGUGGGAUUCCACACACAGGCAAGUUCCAGGGAUCUCAGAAGCUUGGCUAUUUCGUUCAGUGCCAAGGAGGCAAAGAUGAGGACAGGCAGUCGUGUGGGUGGGAGGCAGUCCUUGGAUGAUUAGCACAGGUGUCCAGGAGGGAGGGGAGGGUAUGGAAAUGGUACAAACAUGAGAGGAAGCUGUGCCAGUGGGUCAUCAUGCCCCAUUUGUACAGAACAUUGAGUGGACUGUAACUGUGGACAACUGAAAUACCGAAAAGAAAAUGUGCACACACUGUUUAAAUUCUAAACAGUGGGAGAAUCGUUGUUUAAAGAAGAACAGAUAAUUGCUCAUUCCACCCUCCCCAGUCUUUGAAAGAUAGACACAGGAGUGUCACACAGUACAAGAGUUUGUAUUACACAGAAAGAGGGACUUACAGACAGAAACAAAAUUUAAAAACAAACAAACCACCAGCAUUUAUCACCGUUUAUCCAGCCAGUGGUUUUCUUUAUCCCCUUGGCUAUUACUUUAGAUAUUUUUGCUUGGAACUUCUCCCCCACUUUUUCUGACAGCUCAUUGAUCUUGGGUUGGAUCAUCACAGUUCGUGGGAAACAAUACAGGCUACUUUUCUAGCUUAUUCCUUCUUAGAUGCCUCUUGGAUAUUGUCCAUUUAAUAUGUUUGAGAAAUAUAGAGAGACAAAACACACAGUGUUUUAAUCUCAGAGUAUAUGUAGUGUGUCCCUGGAGAAGAAGUCUCAUAUAUCCAAGGGAAUCAUUCCAUUAUUUUAAAGUAAGGCUUGUAUUUCAGAUUGAUCCACCUGGAACAUGUAAUCAAAACUCAUGAACUUUAAUAUAAAUUCCAGAUUCUGGUUUCUUAUCUAUAUUUUUGGGAACAUAACAUUGGUAGAUAAACUAAUUGAAAAAAAUAUUUUCAAUGUUGAUUUAGAAAUGGCUUUUAACUAUUUCUACACAUUCCAUCACUCCAUCUCAGAAGAAGCGGAGUAGAAAACUGCAGCAAAUGGGACUUUAUAUUAAAGUCCUAGGAAAUAUAUUCUGGCUGAUGUGAUGGUUCUUGUGUGUUUCAGUAGGCAUGUAACAUGUGAAUCGCUUUGUGGAACUGGGUUCGUGAGGCUAGUAUUUAUGAAGCUGUAUAUUUCCUUCUGUGUAGUAACACAGAGAGUGAUUCAGGAGAAUGAGAAAAUCCUGUUUCCUGGAAAUACCAUCCAUCCUGAAGGAGUUACGAGAACCAGAACAGAUAUGUAUUUUGCUAUUUAUCUCACACUUAAAGAUUAUACAAUCCAUUUUCCUAGGGCAAGCACAAAUGGUCAGUUUUAUAAAUCUUGAUGGACUAAGUCAAGUAAAAAAGCCCACUAGUUAAGAGUCCAGAUAUCGAGAGACACAAAUCUGAGGAACGAUCAAUUAGGACACCGUGGUAGCUUGUCUCCAAGAUGUCCAUCAUCAGCUCUUUCCUUCCCUGCAUGUUUGUGCUGUUCUCUAGUUGAACGGUGGCGUCUAUUCACUCCCUUAAAACUGGACUGGACUGUGACUUCUCUGAACAACAGUGACGUGAUGUUUCAUUCCCAGUGUUUGAGAGGAUAGGAAAUUUCUAAUUUCUUUUCCUUGGAACAUUUGCUCAGGAAAAAGCCAGUAACUAUGUAAGAAGGCUAACUACUGCGAGACCACCAUGCUAUGAGAAAGCGCAAGCCAUGUGGAGUGACUGCACGGGCUCUCAGAGAUGCCCAGCCAAGCCCCACCCUCCAUCCACCCGAGCCGAGGCUCUGCAGCCUACAGAUGAUUUCAAUUCCAGCCAUAAUCUAACUCCAACUUCACAGGAGACCUGAAGCAAGAACUAGCCAGUUAAGUCUAAUCAACUCAUUAAACUGUGAGAGAUAGGCAUACAUUGUUGUAGCCUACUAAGUUUUGAGAUGGUUGGUUAUGCACUGUGGAUUCCUAUUACCAAUCGGCUAUAAUUAUAAAAUAUCCACUGGCAAAUAUAAGUUCCAGAGGCAAAGACUGUGUUCCUUUUGCUCAUCAUUGUAUUCAUAACAUGCAGCACAGUGCCUAGAACACAGAAAGCCCUAAACUAAUAAUACGUAAAAGUUUGAAAAAGUUUAUCUGUACUAGUAUGAAAGAAAGACCCAUAGUCAAACGGCUGACAUUUUUUAGCAAGUUUGAUGGGCACAAUAACCUUAUGGUGGUGGUAUUACUACCUCUGUCUUUGAGAUGAGGGAACCUCAGCUUUUUUUUUUUUUUUUGAGGAAGUAAGCUUCCCAAGCUCAGAAAGGUAGGGGAGAGGGCCAGGCAUGGUGGCUCACACCUGUAAUCCUAACACUUUGGGAGGCCAAGGCGGGCAGAUCACCUGAGGUCGGGAGAUCGGGGCCAUCCUGGCCAACAUGGAGAAACCCUGUCUCUACUAAAAAUACAAGAAAUUAGCCGGGCAUGGUGGCACAUGCCUGUAAUCCCAGCUACUUGGGAGGCUGAGCCAGGAGAAUCGCUUGAACUCAGGAAGCAGAGGUUGUGGUGAGCCGAGAUCACACCAUUGCACUCUAGCCUGGGCAACAAGAGCGAAACUCUGUCUCAAAAAGAGAAAAAAAAAAAAAGAAAGAAAGGUAGGGGAGAGAUUUGAACUCAGAUUUGUGCAAUUCUAAAGCCAGCCUGUUUAUUAUAGUCUCCCAGGAGACUACAACAGAAACAAUGAGAAAACAAUUUGAAAGAGAUGCAAAACCCACCCCUUGAAUCUUACCCAGGACUAUGGAGCUCCAUUAAUUGCUGUCAACACGCUGGAACCUAUUUCACAUGAAGCUCAGACCAAUUACAAUUAAUGCCACAGUCAUGACUACAAACUAGAAACCAAUGCCAGAGGAAGCUUAAGUUAAAGAAAGCAACGAUCACGCACAUAUAUUAUGUUAGCAAUUAGGCUUAAUCCUAGAAUCGUGAAGCCAAAGAGAAUAUAUUAAAGAGAGAACAGUGCCCUCCUGGGAAGAAGAGCAAUUUCAAAUAGACUUUUUAGUGGCUUUCUACAUUACUUACUUGAAUAUAUUAUGCUCCCCUAGAAUUACUAUAUUACAAUUACUCACGCCACAUUUUAUUUAUUUCAGCAAGGAAAUGGGAUGGUGCAAUGAGCUCAGUGGGCAGACGGUUUGGUUAUUUCAAUGAAUAAUUUGAAUGUCAACAAGUUGGUGGAUGCUAAGAUGAAAGGGGAAGUAGUAAAUAGCAAAGGUCUCAAUGCCUGACUCUGAGAUGGAGUAAGGAUGAGCUAUCAGGACUGGCACUUCACUUCUAAAUGUUGAGCACUCAGGUUUUGCUAAAUUUAUAAAAGCACAUGAACUAACUAACAUCGCAUAUUUCCUUAACGAGAAGACCAGUUUAUCUCUGUUUAAAACAGUUCUGAUCUACUCAAAUACACAUUUUUAAUUUUCACUGAAAAAUGUUAUAAAUAAAUCAAAAUUUAAAUAAAAAAACUGGGAGGGAAAGGUAGAUCUACUUCUCAAUUCAGAAGAUUAAUAAAAGGAUUAAGGAAUUAAAUAAUCACAUUCUCUAGCCUCAGCUCACGACUUUUUCAAGGCUCAGUUUCUCAAUAAAUGGAAAAGCAAAUUCUCAUUAUUCUCCCAAUCUGUUUGAAAGCAGAGCUGGGGUGUUACAGUGAUUAACAGUUAUCAAGGCCCAUUAAAGUUGUUAAUUAUAGUGGCGUUCACUAUCUUUUUCCAUCAUUUUUAGCUAUUGAGACAGGGUCUUUGUGGAUCCCAAGGAUCAUGUGUUUGCAGUUCAAUUCAGCAGCCACUAGGUGGUAAUAUUGUUGAUUUUGGUAGCCAUGAAGUGUGAUCUAUCAGACCUGCCCUCUUAAAUGGAAUUAUGUACAUCCCUUAUAUCAUCAAGAUGUAAUUAUAGAAAUAAUUAUACUUUAAAAUAUGUAAAAUAUUUUAAUUGUGAAAAAUAUAAUCCCUUAUAAAAGUUCCAUGCAUAUCUGGUACCUUUUAAACUUAUGCUAAUUCUACUUACCUUUUAUUCUAAUUAUACACAUGACUAUCUUCAAAUUAUACAUAUAACAAAAAUAAAGUGUCUGGUCUUAACAGAAAUCCAGCUUAUAUUCAUUGCUUCUGGCUUAUUUUUAGAAGAGAUGAAAAAGAUGCACAUAACUUUCCUUCUAAAAUUAUGGCCGUCCUCUGUAGUAAAUAAUUAUUUGCCACUUGAACUUGGAACCACUGCUAUUCGCACCAUUGGGGUCCUGGGACUCAAAAGAAACCAAGUGGUUCUCUAAGUUAGUAGGAUGGCACAGUAACAACGCUGGGAUUGAGCUCACCCUGACCCUGAGAUCCCUGCCAUGUUUAUGGGAACUUUUAAUGUGAGCAUCACAGUUUUGAAGGCCAUAUCAUUAUGACCAUGUUUGAUCUGAGGGUGGGAAAGCAGGAGCUCACAAAAUGCCUGCACAAGGUUAUUCUGAACUGAGCUAUAAACCAGCUUCAACAAGAGCCUAGUGUGGAAAAGAAAAAAGACACGUAAGAAAAAAGGCAUGGAUAUCAUGGAGUUUGCAACCCCGCCAAGUGGUGCCAUUAAAAUUACAUUCAAUUCUUCUCAGAAAAUGAAAUUAAGAAAAAGUACCAC